rnacentral:lncRNA from 1 species
UUGCAAGAGGUCUGUCCCCUGCCUCGCCCCAAGGAGCAAGGGGCCCUGGAAGCUGAAGAGCCUGCCCAGUGGGUGAGGACACGGUGCACCUGGGGUGCCGAGGAUGGCUGGGACGCUGCUACCCUUCCCUUGCAUCUCCUCCAGGAAGACCCCCUAGCCUCUGCCUCCGCAUCACCUCCUCCAGGAAGCCACCAUGGCCUCUCCAACCGCAUUGCAUGCCUUUACUAAAUGCUCUUAGUGCUCCGGACUGCCAUACUCUAUAUCCCUCACCUCACAGCGUGACUCUGUGUAAUAUCUUCCUAGGUCUGGAUCUCGAUUUGGGACCUGCCCACAUUUUAGCUACUUGUCUCUGAGCCUCAAUUUUCUCAUCAAUAAAAUGGGGAAGUAACAGUGCCUACCUCAUAUUUCUGUUAUGACGAUCCAAUCAGAGAGCUCAUGAAUAGCAGAGUGCUGGGCAGCAAAUAAGCCGUCAGGAAAUGUUAAUAGUUUCUUAAGAGUCAAAUUGUGUCCCCCAAAAAGAUAUGCUGGUGUCCUAACUUCCCAGGACCUGAGAAUGUGACCUUACUUAGAAACAGGGUCUUUGGGCCAGGAUCGGUGGCUCACGCCUGUAAUUCCAGCACUUUGGGAGGCCGAGACGGGUGGAUCACUUAAGAUCAGGGUUCAAUACCAGCCUGGCCAACAUGGUGAAACCCUGUCUCUACUAAAAUUACAAAAAUUAGCCAGGUGUGGUGGUGCAUGUCUGUAAUCCCAGCUACUACUUAGGAGGCUGAGGCAGGAGAAUCACUUGAACCUGGGAGGCAGAGAUCGCAGUGAGCCGAGAUCGCGCCACUGCACUCCAGUCUCCAUUGGAUGAAUCCAAUGACUGUUGUCUUCAUAAGAGAGAAAUCUGGACACAGACGUAGACAGACGGAGAACAGCACAUGAUGAUGUGACAGAGCUUGGGGCGACGCAUCUACAAGCCGGGGACCCCACGAUUGCCACCACCAGAAGCUGGAGACACUCCUGGAACGGAAUUUCCCUCAGGGCCUCCAGAAGGAGGCAACCCUGUCCAUACCUUGACUUUGGACUUGUAGCUUACAGAACAGUAAUAGAAUAAAUUUCUGUUGUCUACUGUUUGUGUUAACUUGUUCCAGCAGCCCUAAGAAACGAAUACACUGUUAUUUCAACGCAGCAAAGCGAGCGCGGUUCUGGG